GAGGACGGAAAGGCAGCAGCGAAAAAUGCCUUUUUGAGGUUCCCAAAUCUCACUCGUGAGGU
rnacentral:SRP_RNA from 1 species